UACGUAGGGGGCUAGCGUUGUCCGGAUUUAUUGGGCGUAAAGAGCGUGUAGGCGGCCAGGUAGGUCUGCUGUGAAAACUCGAGGCUCAACCUCGAGACGUCGAUGGAAACCAUCUGGCUAGAGUUCGGAAGAGGCGAGUGGAAUUCCCGGUGUAGCGGUGAAAUGCGCAGAUAUCGGGAGGAACACCUAUGGCGAAGGCAGCUCGCUGGGAUGUUACUGACGCUGAGACGCGAAAGCGUGGGGAGCAAACAGG
rnacentral:rRNA from 1 species